UACGUAGGGGGCAAGCGUUGUCCGGAAUCAUUGGGCGUAAAGCGCGUGUAGGCGGUUCGAUAAGUCUGCUGUGAAAGUCCAGGGCUCAACCCUGGAAAGCCGGUGGAUACUGUCGGACUAGAGUGCGGAAGAGGCGAGUGGAAUUCCCGGUGUAGCGGUGAAAUGCGCAGAUAUCGGGAGGAACACCAAUUGCGAAGGCAGUUCUCUGGGCCGUAACUGACGCUGAGGAGCGAAAGCGUGGGGAGCGAACAGG
rnacentral:rRNA from 1 species